rnacentral:rRNA from 1 species
GACGAACGCUGGCGGCGUGCUUAACACAUGCAAGUCGAGCGGUAAGGCCCUUUCGGGGGUACACGAGCGGCGAACGGGUGAGUAACACGUGGGUGACCUGCCCUCAGCUCUGGGAUAAGCCUGGGAAACCGGGUCUAAUACUGGAUAUGACUCCAUGACGCAUGUUGUGGGGUGGAAAGCCUUGUGCGGCUGAGGAUGGGCCCGCGGCCUAUCAGCUUGUUGGUGGGGUGANGGCCUACCAAGGCGACGACGGGUAGCCGGCCUGAGA